rnacentral:rRNA from 1 species
AGAGUUUGAUCCUGGCUCAGGACGAACGCUGGCGGCGUGCUUAACACAUGCAAGUCGAACGGAGUGUAGCAAUACACUUAGUGGCGGACGGGUGAGUAACACGUGAGCAACCUGCCCUGUACAACGGGAUAACACAGAGAAAUUUGUGCUAAUACGGUAUAAGACCACACUGCGGCAUCGCAGAGAGGUAAAAGCUGAGGCGGUACAGGAGGGGCUCGCGGCCCAUUAGAUAGUUGGUGAGGUAACGGCCCACCAAGUCGACGAUGGGUAGCCGACCUGAGAGGGUGAUCGGCCACAUUGGAACUGAGAUACGGUCCAAACUCCUGCGGGAGGCAGCAGUGGGGAAUAUUGGGCAAUGGAGGCAACUCUGACCCAGCAACGCCGCGUGAAUGAAGAAGGCCUUCGGGUUGUAAAGUUCUUUAAUUGGGGACGAAGAAAGUGACGGUACCCAAAGAAUAAGCCACGGCUAACUACGUGCCAGCAGCCGCGGUAAUACGUAGGUGGCAAGCGUUGUCCGGAAUGACUGGGCGUAAAGGGAGCGUAGGCGGCGCAACAAGUUAGGAGUGAAAUCCCGGGGCUUAACCCCGGAACUGCUUUUAAAACUGUUGUGCUUGAGUGAUGGAGAGGAAAGCGGAAUUCCUAGUGUAGCGGUGGAAUGCGUAGAUAUUAGGAGGAACACCAGAGGCGAAGGCGGCUUUCUGGACAUUAACUGACGCUGAGGCUCGAAAGCGUGGGGAGCAAACAGGAUUAGAUACCCUGGUAGUCCACGCUGUAAACG